GUGCUCCUCCUCGCGGUCCAGGUGCUCCUCCUCCUCGCGGUCAUCGGACCUCCUUAAGCCCGAGCAGCUAAUCGCGUUAGCUCCAGUUAGCCUCGGCGGCUAAAGACAGCCCAACCGUUGAGGAGCUGUUCUCCCACCUUUCUCUGUUGACUGAUAACCCAGACUGUGUCUGCAGUUACAAAGACGGGCACUUCAUCUGGAGGUCUGAGGCCAUGUGUAAAGAACACAGAUAUAAGUUGGUCCAGAAACAUGAUGAAAAGCAGAUAGAAGCAGAGGAGCUGUCUUUCCCUAAAUAUUAUGUUUGGGAUCAUGUUGGCGUCGCCUUGCAUGUGGACGAACACGUACCUUCACUGCUCAUUCUUCUCAGACAGUCACAUCUACUUUUUAGUAUUUGCAGCAAACUGAAAAUGAAAUAUGAGUUUUGUGUCUAUAUUCUAAAGAUAAGUGGGUAGGGAUGUCCCAGGUGGUUCUGACAUGAGUAAUGUCAUAACUACAGCUGGCCGAUAAUGUGGCUGAGCCUAUCAUAACCUUGUCCCAGAUUCUGUUUGUGAUAUUUACUGACAGGAUCUCAAGGUGCAGCUGGCGUGAGGAGAAUUGCCUCUCUGUUUUUGCAAAUGAUGUGGUUCUGUUGAUUUUCGGCAAACACUAUAGUGGUCUGCAACCGAGUGUGAGGCGGCCAGGAUGAGAGUGAGCAUGUCCAAGUUUGGUUCUCAGCUGGUGGGUUGAUGCUUCUGGGACUGGGAGUGAGUUUCAUUCCUAAGUGAAGAGUCCUUGUUGGAACUGCUGUAAAUCACCUUGGCCAUUAAACUGGCCGUGUUCUCUGGGAAGCCUGGGAACCAAUUACAGGAUUUAUGAAACCAAUGUCACAUAGCCUCAACAGUGUCAAAUGCUUUUAUUCGAUCAACAAAGAGGGAAGCACAGUGUUUCCCUUUGUCAUCACUAUAUCGUUUAUUUAUAACUAGAGUAACAGCAGUGACAGUACUAUGAUGGUACUAAGUACUCUAAGAUCAGAUUGAUUUGGAUUUAUGAUGUAAUUUACUGAGAGGAAUUAUUAGCACUGCGCUUAUCAUUUUUAUUACCAGUCCAAAAGUUACUAAUUGUAGAUAUUCAUUAAUCUUUGAAUAUGGACAUAAAUCUCCUUCCCACCUUUUGAACUCUGGACACAUCAUUAAUUCAAAGGCCCUGCAGUUGCUCUGCCCGUAAUCUUCUUCUAUUUUUUUUUCUGUUUUAGGUGCUGGAGUUUGAUGCUGAUCGACUGAGAGAGAACCUCAAGUUCUGUCACAGAGCAGAACCUACAAUUAAGGGUUCUUCUUUUGAACAAUUCGAACAAGCUGAAGAAGUGGUUAAAGAAUUGUGGCCUGACUGUCCUUCACCACUGGAGAAAGCUGAAUAGUUGGAUAAAGAACCAGCAGGGACAAAGCAGAAACAUCCUGUUGUUAGUAAUAUUCCAAUUUGUAUGGAAUAAGAUGCAGAGAGUAGCAUCAUGGCACUUUCUCAACUGGAAAACUGUUUAUUGGACACCAUGUAGAAAAGCUGGCAUAAUUUUUUUUAACUAAGGCUUGUGAUUUGAUUGACCUCUGUCUUUUUCUUAAAUAAACUUGCUAUUUUUGUC